rnacentral:misc_RNA from 1 species
GAUGAAGAACGCAGCGAAAUGUGAUAAGUAAUGUGAAUUGCAGAAUUCAGUGAAUCAUCGAAUCUUUGAACGCACAUUGCGCCCCCUGGUAUUCCGGGGGGCAUGCCUGUCCGAGCGUCAUUACAACCCUCAAGCUCAGCUUGGUGUUGGGCCCCGCCGCCCCGGCGGGCCCUAAAGUCAGUGGCGGUGCCGUCCGGCUCCGAGCGUAGUAAUUCUUCUCGCUCUGGAGGUCCGGUCGUGUGCUCGCCAGCAACCCCCAAUUUUUUUCAGGUUGACCUCGGAUCAGGUAGGGAUACCCGCUGAACUUAAGCAUAUCAAUAAGCGGAGGA